UCCGGCUUAUCACCGGCAGUCCCUUUAGAGUGCCCAACUGAAUGAUGGCAACUAAAGGCGAGGGUUGUGCUCGUUGAUGGACUUAACCAAACAUCUCACGACACGAGCUGACGACGGCCAUGCAUCACCUGUCACUUGGUUCCCGAGGGCACAUUCUCCUUUCGGAGAGCUUCCAAGGAUGUCAAGCCUGGGUAAGGUUCUUCGCUUACCAUCGAAUUAAACAACACGCUCCACCGCUUGUGCGGGUCCCCGUCAAUUCCUUUAUGUUUUAGUCUUGCGACCGUACUCCACAGGCGGGAUGCUUAACGCGUUAGCUUCGCUACUAGAAGGGUCGAUACUCCUAACAGCUAGCAUCCAUCGUUUACGGCAUGGACUAC
rnacentral:misc_RNA from 1 species